rnacentral:rRNA from 1 species
AGAGUUCGAUUAUGGCUCAGGACGAACGCUGUCGGCGCGCCUAACACAUGCAAGUCGAACGAAGUUGCUUUGAAUGAAUUCUUCGGAAGGAAUUUGAUUCAACUUAGUGGCGGACGGGUGAGUAACGCGUGAGUAACCUGCCUUUCAGAGGGGGAUAACGUCUGGAAACGGACGCUAAUACCGCAUAACAUAUUGGUUUCGCAUGGAGCUGAUAUCAAAGGAGCAAUCCGCUGAAAGAUGGACUCGCGUCCAAUUAGCUAGUUGGUGAGGUAACGGCCCACCAAGGCGACGAUUGGUAGCCGGACUGAGAGGUUGAACGGCCACAUUGGGACUGAGACACGGCCCAG